UGUCUCUUAAAAACUUGAGUGGCGGUUUAUCACAACCAGUUACAGAUUUCUUUGUUCCUUCUCCACUCCCACUGCUUCCUUUGACUGGCAUUUG
rnacentral:sRNA from 1 species